GGCUACAGGACGAACGCUGGCGGCGUGCUUAACACAUGCAAGUCGAGCGAUGAAGCUUCUUCGGAAGUGGAUUAGCGGCGGACGGGUGAGUAACACGUGGGUAACCUGCCUCAUAGAGGGGAAUAGCCUUCCGAAAGGAAGAUUAAUACCGCAUAAGAUUGUAAUAUCGCAUGAUAUAGCAAUUAAAGGAGUAAUCCGCUAUGAGAUGGACCCGCGUCGCAUUAGCUAGUUGGUGAGGUAACGGCUCACCAAGGCGACGAUGCGUAGCCGACCUGAGAGGGUGAUCGGCCACAUUGGGACUGAGACACGGCCCAGACUCCUACGGGAGGCAGCAGUGGGGAAUAUUGCACAAUGGGGGAAACCCUGAUGCAAGCAACGCCGCGUGAGUGAUGACGGUCUUCGGAUUGUAAAGCUCUGUCUUCAGGGACGAUAAUGACGGUACCUGAGGAGGAAGCCACGGCUAACUACGUGCCAGCCGCCGC
rnacentral:rRNA from 1 species